AGCCAAUUGUAUUUUAUAUAUUUUGAACUCUAUAGAUUGUUUAAUAUCAAAAUAAACAAUGCUAUAUAGCCCCUUACACAUUAUAAGCGAUGUUAUAGAAACAUUUAUUUCAUAUUGGAGAUAAAAACAUCAAGUUCAUCCAAUAUACAGACAUAUAGAAAAAAAGCAAAUGAGAAACAAACAUAGAAGACAAAAGUACAACACUCAUAUCUCAAACUCUCUCUUCCAGCAUCUUCUUUUCUUCUCUCAGGGCCUUGACACAUUGUUUGGGUAGUGAGCUACAAUAUGAUCAUAAACAGCAAGUGUAAGAAAAUCAUCAAGCUCACUUGCAGUACAUUGCUUUGUAAACUUCUUGCAGUUGUCCUUAUACAUUCCUUUCUUAAACUUAUCUUUACCAACUUCUUUCUCGAUUCUUUCCAUCUCUUCUUCCACAACUCUCUCAAACAACUCUUUGUUCACCCUGACUCCAAGCCCAUCUCCGUCCAACUCCACUUCAUACCUAAUCCAUUGCCAGUUCUGGACACGACUUAUCUCAGCUGGAGCCGCAUCUUCCAUCAGGUUAUAGCGUGGGACAGAUCCUGAUCGUGUUAGCCACACUGCUAAGUAUUCGAUCCCCACACGUCUGUUCAGCCUUAGACCCUCUGCUCUGAUCUGUACUGUUUAAAAUAAAAUAAAAACAUUCCAAUCUGCAUGGAUGCAUUCACAGGCCACAUGGGCAAUUAUCCAAACCAAAUAAAAUCCACGAAGCAUCUGCAAUAACAAAGCACAAAUGAAUUUGUAUAGCAAAAUCCAUGAGCGUUACAUUCGUUAUUUUUUUUUCACUUGACAUAUCAUCCAUACUCUUGCAAACUAUACAGUUGUUAAGGUUUUAAAAGAGACCACAAAUGAAUUAAGUGACUUAAGCCAUCUCCUAACUUCCUUACCUGAAUGUUCAUCGGCAUGAGAACCGGGAGACACUCUGAUAUCAACCUGAACAUAAGUAAAAGGAAACAGAAACAAUCACACAUAUAUAACAAAUGACCAUUGAAAAAACUUGUCUUUUUACUUAAAAGGAUAGUUGACCUUAUAGUGGAGAGGCAAGCAUUCUUUAAGCUUAGUUCUCAAACGCAUACCAAAUAUAGUUGCCAUAUAAUCCGUAUGGUCGGUGUAAACGUUAUCGUGAAUUGAUCACAUAACCAAAACCCACAAACUCACAAAUCAUUAAAUAUCAUGUACACACAAAAAAAAGCCUCACACUUUUGGAUCCAAAAUUAAACUUUUUUUUCUCACUAUCAUUGGGACUACACAGUGAGAUCAUUAAACAGAGGACUAAUAAUACUCACUGGACGCGAUUAAGCUUGUCAUCGAGAGUGAUGGAGUCUUCAGACAGAACACUUAGUUGCUCCAAGGAGUAAGGGUGUUCCAAAUCUCUUAUGUCUCUUACAUACUUUGUCUAUUUUCGUCAAAGAAUCCUAAAUAGCUCAAAAAUCCAAAAAAAAGAAAAAUAUCAAAAAAAACUAAUCUAACCGAAGUUAAAAGGAUACCAUAGAUGUCGAGAGGAUCAAGUGCAAAUCUAUUUGCUCAGAGCAAAUCUCCUUAUAAAAAAAAUUCUCAGGCCGAAUUCCGAUCUACAGAAUCAGUUACGACUUGAAAUUCAAAGGCGAAAGCGGAAACUUUACCGUGUUCUUCUGCUGCUGAGUACUUCUUGAUUCUGGCAGCUCUAAGAGAUGGGGAUUGUGUUAUAUGUGGACGUAUAUUUAUAGGAUUCAACUGAGAAGCUUCUGAAACGUAUCGAUGAAAGUUUAGUUGUAGUUGUUAGAAUUAAAGGCUGAUAUAUGGAUUGAUUAUCUUCGCUAACUGAAACGGUAAACGUAGGGGCGUUUUUUUUUUUUUUUUUUUUUUAACCGCAAUAAUUUUAUUAACUAAACUGUAAAAGGCGAGUACAAGUACUGAAUCAACCAAACAGGAAGAAAAUCAAAGAAUUGAUAUUCAAAGGCGAAAGCGGAAACUUUACCGUGUUCUUCUGCUGCUGAGUACUUCUUGAUUCUGGCAGCUCUAAGAGAUGGGGAUUGUGUUAUAUGUGGACGUAUAUUUAUAGGAUUCAACUGAGAAGCUUCUGAAACGUAUCGAUGAAAGUUUAGUUGUAGUUGUUAGAAUUAAAGGCUGAUAUAUGGAUUGAUUAUCUUCGCUAACUGAAACGGUAAACGUAGGGGCGGGAUGACUAUGACAUCAUCGUGCUUAUUUAGGUUUUUGUCAACAAUUUAUGUUGUAAAAAAAUUAAAAAAAUUGUGGAACCCAAAAUAUGCCAUGUGGACACUUUUAGAGGGAGAGAAUAUGUAAUGGGCUCCGACCAAUACGUAAAACCAAGAGAAUAUGUAAUGGGCUCCGACCAAUAUGCCAUGUUGAUUUUUUUUUAAAUUUUAAGUCCAGUCCAAAAUGACAUGGCAUAUUGAUUGGUUCUCAAUAUUUUUGCCUAUGUGGCAAGGUUUAGGAGAGAGAGAUUUAGUCCCUUUUAUAUAGUAGGAUUCAUAUGAAUAAUCACAACUUUUCAUAUUUUAAUUAGUUAUUGAAAAUAGCACUUUUGUAAUGGUAAUAUAUACUGUAACUUUAAAAAAAAAAUCAACUAAUGCACAUUUUAUGAUGAAAAGACACAACAUAACAUUUAUUCACAAAUUUUAACAAUAUUUCAUAUUGAAGAGAUACAACUUUUAAUCAAAAGAUACCUUAAUGAACAAACACAACUUUUGACAAAAAUAAAAUCCUACUAUAUAAAAGGGACUAAAUUCAAAGCUUUUGUGACUAUCCACCUCAGCCAAAAUAUUCUCAUCCAAAAAGAAUUAGAAAUAAAUGUCAUUUAUAAGAUAAUUAACUAACAUACAACUUUUGAUAUUUCUAGAAAUUUUAAAUUUGUAACUACUAAUUUAUUAAUAGAAUCAUAUAUCUAUAUUGAAUUAUGUUCUAUUUUUAAUCGUUAAACUUUAAGGGUAAAUAAAUUAUUAAUUUAUAAUAUAUAUAGUUUAUAACUUUAUAUUGUAGUUAUAAAUAAAGAGAAAAUAAUCGGGAAAGGUGAAGAAGCUCAUGUAAAAUUAUGUAAUUAAAAUGGUAAAAUGGUGAGUAUGAUGACGUGAAUCUAAGAAAAUUUGUUGUAUAAAUUAUGGUGCUUUCUUCGUCCACUAUAAUGAUAGAGGGACAGUAAGAGAUUAAAGAGAAAAUAGUUUGGAGGUAGGGUUUAUCUUGGGAAGAUAUGGUUAUGAGCCUUGGCUUUAACUUCAUGAUCAGCAGAUUCAUAAAAGUGUAGGAGACAACUCCUUUCGUCACGUCAUGUGUGAUACAUCGAGCAUUCAAUUUUUUGUUUAUAAAUUUUGAUCCAAGAUUGUCUAAAUAGAUUUGAAAAGGUACGUGUAGUAAAGUAUGCAACACUUAAAAAGUGAAUAGGUAUGUAUAAUACAAAUAGAAAGUUGCAACCAUAGGACUUUUACAAAUCGAAAAUGUAUGAAUAGGUAGAUAUUAAUAGAAAUAUGCAAUUUUUCGUGACAUUUUUCACAACUUUUCAAAUUAAUUGUGAAAGGAUGCAACUUUUCAUCUUAAACAUUGCAUUAGUUCUUAUAGAUUGUGAAUAUAUAUAUAAAGAUGCGUCCUUUCAUAAAAAUAUGUCUUUUUAUAAAAAUUCAUAUGAAUAAUCACAACUUUUCAUAUUUUAAUUAGUUAUUGAAAAUAACACUUUUGUAAUGGUAAUAUAUACUGUAACUUUUUAAAAAAAAAUCAAUUAAUGUACAUUUUAUGAUGAAAAGACACAACAUAACAUUUAUUCACAAAUUUUAACAAUAUUUCAUAUUGAAGAGAUACAACUUUUAAUCAAAAGACACCUUAAUGAACAAACACAACUUUUGACAAAAAUAAAAUUCUUAUAAAAACACACAACCUUUAGAAUUAAUUGGGAUUGCUAUUAUUAGUAAAAGGAUGCAACUUUUCAUCUUAAACAUUGCAUUAGUUCUUAUAGAUUGUGAAUAUAUAUAUAAAGAUGCGUCCUUUCAUAAAAAUAUGUCUUUUUAUAAAAACUAGGAAUCGUCAACUCCGCGCAAGCGCGGAGAUCUGUGUUUGGUGUAUUACAGCAGUUCAUUAUGCUUGCAAUUGAAAGAUAACGUGUGUAUGUUACUGGUUAAUUUGUGUACAUUUUGAGCUACGAUUAAUGUAUUCAUAUAUAUAUAUAGUGUUAUUGUUUUUUUGUUGCUUAUUCAGAUCCGUUAUUCUUCUCCUGCAAAAUAUUAUGUUGUGUAUGUCAUCAACAGUCAUCUUUCUUUUUUGUAAACUAACAGUCAUCUUUCUACGAUAUUCUUUCUCAAAAGUCAGGACAACACUUCAAUAAUCAGGCAAUUAACUUGCAAAGUUUUUACAUUUAUCAUUCAUAUAUUUUUCACGGUUAUAAUAAAAACCUAGCAGCUCCAAAGAAUCAGAAGAUCAAAAAUAGAAAAAGAAAUAACAAACAGCCAAUUGUAUUUUAUAUAUUUUGAACUCUAUAGAUUGUUUAAUAUCAAAAUAAACAAUGCUAUAUAGCCCCUUACACAUUAUAAGCGAUGUUAUAGAAACAUUUAUUUCAUAUUGGAGAUAAAAACAUCAAGUUCAUCCAAUAUACAGACAUAUAGAAAAAAAGCAAAUGAGAAACAAACAUAGAAGACAAAAGUACAACACUCAUAUCUCAAACUCUCUCUCCCAGCAUCUUCUUUUCUUCUCUCAGGGCCUUGACACAUUGUUUGGGUAGUGAGCUACAAUAUGAUCAUAAACAGCAAGUGUAAGAAAAUCAUCAAGCUCACUUGCAGUACAUUGCUUUGUAAACUUCUUGCAGUUGUCCUUAUACAUUCCUUUCUUAAACUUAUCUUUACCAACUUCUUUCUCGAUUCUUUCCAUCUCUUCUUCCACAACUCUCUCAAACAACUCUUUGUUCACCCUGACUCCAAGCCCAUCUCCGUCCAACUCCACUUCAUACCUAAUCCAUUGCCAGUUCUGGACACGACUUAUCUCAGCUGGAGCCGCAUCUUCCAUCAGGUUAUAGCGUGGGACAGAUCCUGAUCGUGUUAGCCACACUGCUAAGUAUUCGAUCCCCACACGUCUGUUCAGCCUUAGACCCUCUGCUCUGAUCUGUACUGUUUAAAAUAAAAUAAAAACAUUCCAAUCUGCAUGGAUGCAUUCACAGGCCACAUGGGCAAUUAUCCAAACCAAAUAAAAUCCACGAAGCAUCUGCAAUAACAAAGCACAAAUGAAUUUGUAUAGCAAAAUCCAUGAGCGUUACAUUCGUUAAUUUUUUUUCACUUGACAUAUCAUCCAUACUCUUGCAAACUAUACAGUUGUUAAGGUUUUAAAAGAGACCACAAAUGAAUUAAGUGACUUAAGCCAUCUCCUAACUUCCUUACCUGAAUGUUCAUCGGCAUGAGUCUGAUAUCAACCUGAACAUAAGUAAAAGGAAACAGAAACAAUCACACAUAUAUAACAAAUGACCAUUGAAAAAACUUGUCUUUUUACUUAAAAGGAUAGUUGACCUUAUAGUGGAGAGGCAAGCAUUCUUUAAGCUUAGUUCUCAAACGCAUACCAAAUAUAGUUGCCAUAUAAUCCGUAUGGUCGGUGUAAACGUUAUCGUGAAUUGAUCACAUAACCAAAACCCACAAACUCACAAAUCAUUAAAUAUCAUGUACACACAAAAAAAAGCCUCACACUUUUGGAUCCAAAAUUAAACUUUUUUUUCUCACUAUCAUUGGGACUACACAGUGAGAUCAUUAAACAGAGGACUAAUAAUACUCACUGGACGCGAUUAAGCUUGUCAUCGAGAGUGAUGGAGUCUUCAGACAGAACACUUAGUUGCUCCAAGGAGUAAGGGUGUUCCAGAUCUCUUAUGUCUCUUACAUACUUUGUCUAUUUUCGUCAAAGAAUCCUAAAUAGCUCAAAAAUCCAAAAAAAAGAAAAAUAUCAAAAAAACUAAUCUAACCGAAGUUAAAAGGAUACCAUAGAUGUCGAGAGGAUCAAGUGCAAAUCUAUUUGCUCAGAGCAAAUCUCCUUAUAAAAAAAAUUCUCAGGCCGAAUUCCGAUCUACAGAAUCAGUUACGACUUGAAAUUCAAAGGCGAAAGCGGAAACUUUACCGUGUUCUUCUGCUGCUGAGUACUUCUUGAUUCUGGCAGCUCUAAGAGAUGGGGAUUGUGUUAUAUGUGGACGUAUAUUUAUAGGAUUCAACUGAGAAGCUUCUGAAACGUAUCGAUGAAAGUUUAGUUGUAGUUGUUAGAAUU
rnacentral:lncRNA from 1 species